GCCCAAACCCAUGGUUUUUUUUAAGUAUACAGAGCCAGCUCCCUGCUGCGGCCUCUAGUCUCUUCAUGGUCCAGUUCCUGCCCACCUCCCUGAGACCAUUUCUAAAGCGCCACCUCUAACUUCCUCUGCUUUAGUUGCAUCUCAUUCGUUUUAGUUACUCAGAUUUCCCAGGCUCCUUCCUGCCAUGGAGCCUUUGCACGUGCUGCUAGGAAAGCUCUUCCUCUCCCCCAGUGCCUGACUUAUACCUACCCCACUUUCCAGAGCUCAGAGCAAGUGCUGUUUCCUCGGGGAUCCUUCCACAAUGCUGGAGACUAAGUCAUACCCCUCAUUACAGACAUUACUUUCUUAUCACUGUUUUCAAUGUGUUUGGAAUCGUAUAUGGAUUUGGGCGAUCACAGGUUAAAGCAUACCUCUCCUAAUGGAUGAGGCAUGAUGAGGAGAGGGACUGUGACUAUGAGCUCCUUGUUGAAUGAAUCUCUUUCCCCAGAUACAAGGCAGGGGGCCAAACACAUGUUGGUAGAAUGCAUGAAUUGCAGCACUUUCCCCUCAUUGAAUCACUUUCACGCCUGAUAGUCUGAACCAUAUGGAAUUGCCAAUAUUCAAAACCAGCAAUGUUAUUUUUUUACUGAUUCAUGGGAGAAUUUUUGAACCACUGCAGAUGGGUACUGUGCCUGUCUCAUUCCUUGCGGUAUCCCAGCAUCUAGUACAGUGGCUCAAGUUUGUGAUCUUUAAAUAUUUGUUGAAUAAAUUGUUAAUGAGGGCAAUACAACUGUAAACAUACUGCACAGAUGAGAAAACUCAGAGACCUACAAGGGUGUAGUAUUAGAAUUGUGGAGCUAACAGAACCUUAAGGAUCCUCCAAUCUCAUUUUGCAUGUGGAGGGCUGAGGGAUCUGUUUGGUACCAUGCGUAAUAUAUUGGAACAAUAGUGCACAUGUAUAAUUUGUAAGUAAAUACAUAUAUGUUGGGGUUUCGGUCUCAGCAUUCCUCACUGAAAGAGAUACGAGAUAAAAGAAACUCUGGGGUCCACUGAUGUAACUCAGCUCCUCUUUUAGCAGAGAGGGACACUGAAGCCUGCAACAGGAGAGAGAUAUGCCUAAGAUGUGUAGCCUGUAGGUGAGCCCUGGGUUCAGAGAACUGAUGUUAGCCCAAAAGCAGGGCUCCUGUUUGAACUUCUCUGCUGUGACCAGGUGACCAGACACUGGUUCUCUCUGGUCACCCCACUCACCCUGUGAUACAUGACAUUCUUCCCCCUUGAGGUCUCCUGUGGCAUCUGCUGCCCACCCACAGUUCUGGGGAUCCUGACAAGAUGUCCAUCUGCACCCAGCCUAUGCCUAGCAGAGCAGGUGAGCAGCCUUGGCUGUUUCUGGAAUCAGAUUUCAGAGCUUCCGGCUGAUAAGGGGCUUUUGUUUGGCCAGUGUUUUGCCCCAGCCUCUCAUCUACAGCCAGAUGGCAGGUGAUUCUGGGACCCAGCCCACACCCAGAAGGGGUAGGUAACUGAGCAGUGGUGCGGCACCUGUCAUAUGGAUGGUUGUUUGCUGCAGGAACGCAUUAGAGCACAUUUCAAUGGCCAGUUCUUUAUAACUCCUCGUCGUCUCACCAAGGCAUUUAGUCCACAGCCAGAGGGCACAUUCAGAACUCAAAUAUAGCCUCUUCAUUUGAUAGAUGGGGAGACUGAGGCACAGAAAGAGCACAGGGAAUUCUACACUGCAUCGGAAAAUUAGUGUCAAAGCUGUAGCUAAAUGAUGGUCUGCUUGGCACCCAGUCCCAAGACACCACACUGCUCAGAGUUCCUUUGGGGAAGAAGACAGAAAAAUCAAUUCAUUCACAUUUUACAAACAGACUAAUGAGGCUCAGAGUUGUGAAAUGAUUUUCCUAAAGUCACACCAUGAAAUAAUGAUAUAUCAUUAUUAUUGUCACUGUUAAACAGUUACUAUUGAUCUUGUUUGAUCCUCACCAUAGUAAGUUCCAGUUUUAUGUCCAUUUUAAAGAUGAAGAAACUGAGGCUCAAGGUCUUAUGAAGACCUGAAAUAAGCUCCAGAUCUCUUGACUCCAAGUUCGGUGCUCUCAUCCCACUGGGGGGCAAGAUUUCUGACCCCCCAAGAGGUUGUGCGCUGAGCAGGGAUCACCAGGCAAAGAUGGGAACACUGUGACUGUCUUUAAUAACUGACCCAGGCUGCACUGCCUAAGCAAUCCCAUUCAAUCCACCUCAUUUCUGUUCACCCAUAGAGUGCCAGCAUCAUGCCUUCCUCAACUGCUCUGUAUAUACUGUAUCUUUUUCCUGCCUGGAGAGUCUCUUAGAAUGACAUUCUUCUUAAUGGCCUUGGGGGCAUGGGAGGAUUAGAGUGGGCCCCCAAAAUUGAAAGGGGAACCCAGACAGAGACUAAUAGCCUUAGAAAGAAACAUCAUAUACCCCAUUAUGGCAGGGACCAGGUUGAGGGGAAAGAGGCCCCCCAAACUGCAGUGAGAAGAGUGCAUGCAGGUCAGGAAAACUUUCCAUGGUGGGUCCUGGUUAUAUGUGGCCCCCAAAGAAAAGACGUCUUGACAACUAGAAGAAGUAGGGAUGACCUCAAGAUUACUGUAGCUCAACCCUGCCUAACUCUUCAUUUCACAGAAGGAAUCUGGCACAGAGUAGUCAAGUCACUUGCCUACGGUCUCACAAGCAAUUAAUGCCAUUGACAAGGGGUUCGUAGUAGAGCACUUGUGGGUUUUUGGAAAGAGAAAAACUAAUAUGAUUACUUUCUGCUGCGUGCCAUAACACAUGCCUGCAGCCCCAGCUACUUGAGAGGUUGACACAGGAGGAUCCAUCCCUUGAGCUCAGGAGCUCUGGGCUUAAGUGUGCUAUGCCAAUGGAGUGUCUGGACUAAGUUUGGCAUCAAUAUGGUGACCUCCCAGGAGCUGGGAACCAUCAGAUUGCCAAAGGGAGAGUGAAUUGGCCCUCAGGUCAGAAGCAGAGUAGUUCUAAACUCUUAUGCUGAUCAGUAAUGGGAUCGCACCUGUGAAUAGCUACUGCACUCCAACCUGGGCAACAUUGUAAGACUCCAACUCCAAAAAAAAAUAGUAAAACUAAAUAAAAAUUUAAAAUGAUAGCUUUCCACUGACCACUCCUAUCCACACCCCAGAACACUGGCUGUUCCACCCUGCCUCUAUAGCAUUUAUGUCCUUUUAACAAAUCAACCCUCAAACUGUCCCCAUAUGGUGAUUUGAAUGCAGGGGCUAGAGGCUAUGGUCUGAGUGCUCCUAGAUGCAUUUAAUGUUUUCCAGGGAAGCUCAAGCUGAGACUUCCACCACAGGGACUCCCAGCUUUUGACUUGGGCAAUAUGUAAUUUCCACCACCCUGAUGUUUACUAUCACUAUUCCAGUUCUUAAAAGCCUUUUGCCUUUUUUCUCCCUGGAAAAUAGUGCGCUCUGCAUUUCCACCUCUCUAACCCUCUAGCCUAAGGAAAGCAUCAACUCCCAGUCACCAAGCAAAUGUUAGUUACGACACAUGCAAAGGGUGGGUGUUGUGUAGUUAGAGGAGUGCUGGCUUUGCAGUUAAUGUGCUUGGGCUUGAAUUCUACUCCACCAUCUACUAGCCGUGUGACCUUGGGCAAAUCCCUUUACUACCCUGAGUGCCCUCAUCUGUAAGAUGGUGAUAGAAAUUCUUAACUCAAGUGGUUGCUAGUUCCUGGUAUGACUGAGUAUUUGGAAUGGUUGCUUUUGGCCAUUCAGGCACAUGUUCAAAAGUGAAUCAGUUUGAUAGUGGUUGUGGAGUGAGAAAAGACGCUAGGAUUAUAUCCUUGGUCAAGAAUGCUAAGCCUCACAGUUCGUGGGUUUCAUUCUUUAUUAUGCAGAUGGAGAAAGUAAGUCUCAGAGAGGGAAAGGCAUUUGCCCAAAGUCACACAGUAAAUGGGAAUCAAGGUCUCCUCACCCUAAAGCUCACUCCUCUGUCUCAGUGACCUCGUAAAUGUAAAUUUUUCAACUUCUUCAUCUGCCAAAAAGCUUAAUAAUGCUUACUAAUAAUAGUUUCUGACUACUUACUAUACACCCAGCACUGAAAAAAAUGUUUUGUCUGCAAUAUGUCGCUUAAUCUGCUCAAUUAUCUUUUGAGGUAAAUACCGUGGCAAUUUCCAUUUUGUAGAUGAGAAAAUUAAGGAUCAGAGAGUUAAGUGAUGUGUAUAACUUGCACAGCUAGAUACUGUCAGAACCAGAAUUUGAAUCCUGUGCUGGUAGCUCUCACUAACUCUUAUUGGGAACACCUGUUCUGCCAGUCUCCUGCGAUAAGGAGAGAUGAGAAAACUUAGGAGCACGAUAUGGAAACAAGAAAGUUCUUGACAAGCUGUUUACAUCUUCCAAUACGUGACUCCAUUCUGCUCCAUCCCAGGGCCACAGUGAUGCAUCAGAGAGAACGUGGCUCAGGAUGUCUGUCCACCAGCACUACCCCAUAGUUUUAUUUUGGGACUUGCCAGUCUGACUCUACGUUAAUGUAGAACCCUUUCUGGAAACAAGUUUCCCUAGGAAUGAGAAAAAGACAAGGAGAAUAAGUCUUUCUCGAGUGAGAAAUUUGGGACUUCUAAUUGCAAUGCUUAGCCCAAGCUGACCCACUUAGGUACAGUCAUUGUGCAAUCAUGGUUAUUCUUCAGAUGCACAAUAUUACAUGCUUGAUGAGAACUUGAUUCAUGCAUCCACCCAUCCAUUUAUCAUGCAUUUACUCAUCAUCUAUUCCAUCAUCCAUUUAUUUAUCCACCCACCACCUGUUCAUCCAUCCAUCCACCCUUUAUCCAUCCAUCAAACAACAAUUAAUGCAUUUAUUAUUUCAUUCACCCAUCCAUCCAUUUUCCAACUAUUUGUCUAUUCGCCCAAUCUACAAUUAUUUUCUUUUCCCGUUCAUCUACCCAUCAUCCAUCUACCCAUUCAUCCACCUCAUCCAACCAACAUUCAUGGAGCAUCUAAGUUACCUACUGAUGGGGAGUUGUUUAUGGUUUGGCAGUCAGAAUAUUUACUGACUGAUCAAUUGGUGUAAGAAAUGGUGCCUUUCUUCACCAUUUCCCUACAUUUAUGGUAAAGUGAGAUUUAUUCAUUUCAUUUAAUGGACAGUGAGAACUACCAGCUCAAAUUAUUUUUUUCAAGACCACACAGGGAUAAAGUUAAACCUGAUCUUCCAAGCCUAGUUCUCUCCAAAACACCUAAAAUACUGUAGUUCCAAAGAACCACAGGCAUCUUGGGCUUGUUUUUCUUCUCUGGGGUUUUUUACUGUGCAUAUUUAAAUAAUCAUGCAUAUUCAUUUAUAUCGGCAACAAAGGAUCACAACAAAUGCUAUGACCCUUUUAUUUUUCACUUGUGCAAAGAGAUUUCACAUAUGCAAA